GGGCGCGUGGCGUAAUUUGGUAGCGCAGCGGUCUCCAAAACCGCAGGUUGCAGGUUCGAGUCCUGCCGCGCCUG
rnacentral:tRNA from 1 species